ensembl:processed_transcript Gm15787 predicted gene 15787
AAGUGUUUGUCAGUCUUGUUUGUAUUAUUGCCAGUGUUAUACAUGGCCGGACACUGCGCCACGCGACUGCAUUGCCAGCCACGAGGAAGUCUGACAAGUAUCACAAGCUCGAGGACUGACUGGACUAUAAAGUGGGACUUGUCUUAAAAGGGGCAGGAAGGGGUCCUUCUGAUAGCAAAAGGAAUGACACAACAACUGGCAAGGCAGAGAUGCAGGCCAAGCUGACCACAAGGAUCAAGAGCUACAGAGAAAACAGGCUGUGUCAAUUCUGUGAGGAACCCUGCACACCCUACAGUUUUCAUAGCCCAUGCCAAGAUUGUCAGACAAGAAAAACAAAUCUAUCUGAAAACCAAGUGAAGGAAAUGAUGCUGCUCCAGUGGUAUCUAUAAUGUCUUUAUUUGUCUUGACCAACUCUGAGAAGCAAGUUCGAGCUCAACCAUCCUGUGUGUCCGACUUCUGCUAAGUGUGGAGCAUCAUGCCAUCCCAAGUGCCUGUUAGAACUGAGUGGUGACACCAAUACAGACAGAAAUGGUUCGUGGGCUCCUUACCUGGCAACUCAGAAGCAGGAAUGUUCUGACGAUACUG